rnacentral:ribozyme from 1 species
UCAUCUGCUGAACAGGUGUCGCAGUUAUUAUUCACUAGUCUCGGUUUGAAGCCGCCCCCAGGAUCGCAAGGGAAGAGACACCCCUCCACAAAAGAAGAAGUUUUGCUUGAGCUU